rnacentral:rRNA from 1 species
UGCCUAAUACAUGCAAGUAGAACGCUGAAGAGAGGAGCUUGCUCUUCUUGGAUGAGCUGCGAACGGGUGAGUAACGCGUAGGUAACCUGCCUUGUAGCGGGGGAUAACUAUUGGAAACGAUAGCUAAUACCGCAUAACAAUGGAUGACACAUGUCAUUUAUUUGAAAGGGGCAAUUGCUCCACUACAAGAUGGACCUGCGUUGUAUUAGCUAGUAGGUGAGGUAACGGCUCACCUAGGCGACGAUACAUAGCCGACCUGAGAGGGUGAUCGGCCACACUGGGACUGAGACACGGCCCAGACUCCUACGGGAGGCAGCAGUAGGGAAUCUUCGGCAAUGGGGGCAACCCUGACCGAGCAACGCCGCGUGAGUGAAGAAGGUUUUCGGAUCGUAAAGCUCUGUUGUAAGUCAAGAACGAGUGUGAGAGUGGAAAGUUCACACUGUGACGGUAGCUUACCAGAAAGGGACGGCUAACUACGUGCCAGCAGCCGCGGUAAUACGUAGGUCCCGAGCGUUGUCCGGGUUUAUUGGGCGUAAAGCGAGCGCAGGCGGUUUGAUAAGUCUGAAGUUAAAGGCUGUGGCUCAACCAUAGUUCGCUUUGGAAACUGUCAAACUUGAGUGCAGAAGGGGAGAGUGGAAUUCCAUGUGUAGCGGUGAAAUGCGUAGAUAUAUGGAGGAACACCGGUGGCGAAAGCGGCUCUCUGGUCUGUAACUGACGCUGAGGCUCGAAAGCGUGGGGAGCGAACAGGAUUAGAUACCCUGGUAGUCCACGCCGUAAACGAUGAGUGCUAGGUGUUGGAUCCUUUCCGGGAUUCAGUGCCGCAGCUAACGCAUUAAGCACUCCGCCUGGGGAGUACGACCGCAAGGUUGAAACUCAAAGGAAUUGACGGGGGCCCGCACAAGCGGUGGAGCAUGUGGUUUAAUUCGAAGCAACGCGAAGAACCUUACCAGGUCUUGACAUCCCGAUGCUAUUUCUAGAGAUAGAAAGUUACUUCGGUACAUCGGUGACAGGUGGUGCAUGGUUGUCGUCAGCUCGUGUCGUGAGAUGUUGGGUUAAGUCCCGCAACGAGCGCAACCCCUAUUGUUAGUUGCCAUCAUUCAGUUGGGCACUCUAGCGAGACUGCCGGUAAUAAACCGGAGGAAGGUGGGGAUGACGUCAAAUCAUCAUGCCCCUUAUGACCUGGGCUACACACGUGCUACAAUGGUUGGUACAACGAGUUGCGAGUCGGUGACGGCAAGCUAAUCUCUUAAAGCCAAUCUCAGUUCGGAUUGUAGGCUGCAACUCGCCUACAUGAAGUCGGAAUCGCUAGUAAUCGCGGAUCAGCACGCCGCGGUGAAUACGUUCCCGGGCCUUGUACACACCGCCCGUCACACCACGAGAGUUUGUAACACCCGAAGUCGGUGAGGUAACCUUUUGGAGCCAGCCGCCUAAGGUGGGAUAGAUGAUUGGGGUGAAGU